CGACUGUCUAAUUAAUACAAAGCAUUGGGUUGGCCGCUGGUCGGUGUUGACGCAAUGUGAUUUCUGCCCAGUGUUCUGAAUGUCAUCGUGAAGAGAUUCAUCAAAGCGCGGAUAAACGGCGGGAGUGACUAUGACUCUCAGGGAUGGGAGUAGCCUGUGUGCUUGGCUGAUUUUUUG
rnacentral:rRNA from 1 species